rnacentral:rRNA from 1 species
UACGUAGGGUGCGAGCGUUGUCCGGAAUUACUGGGCGUAAAGAGCUCGUAGGUGGUUUGUCGCGUUGUUCGUGAAAUCUCACGGCUUAACUGUGAGCGUGCGAGCGAUACGGGCAGACUGGAGUACUGCAGGGGAGACUGGAAUUCCUGGUGUAGCGGUGAAAUGCGCAGAUAUCAGGAGGAACACCGAUGGCGAAGGCAGGUCUCUGGGCAUUAACUGACGCUGAGGAGCGAAAGCAUGGGGAGCGAACAGG